GAAUCUUGGGAAUGGGCGAAAGCCUGACCCAGCAACGCCGCGUGGGCGAUGAAGGCCUUCGGGUCGUAAAGCCCUUUUGAGGGGGACGAUGAUGACGGUACCCCUCGACUAAGCCACGGCUAACUACGUUCCAGCAGCCGCGGUAAUACGUAGGUGGCAAGCGUUGUCCGGAUUUACUGGGCGUAAAGGGCGUGCAGGCGGUUUGUUUAGUCUAGGGUGAAAGCUCCCGGCUUAACUGGGAGAGGUCCUUGGAUACUGGCAAACUUGAGGGAGGCAGAGGAAAGUGGAAUUCCCGGUGUAGUGGUGAUAUGCGCAGAUGUCGGGAGGAACACCAGUGGCGAAGGCGGCUUUCUGGGCCUUACCUGACGCUGAGACGCGAAAGCGUGGGGAGCGAACCGG
rnacentral:rRNA from 1 species